GACCUCGUGGGAGCACGGAUUCUCGCUCCGCCAUGAUAAUGAAUGUAGGAUGGAUAUUUCAGGGAGAGGCGGUGGUUCGAAUCCACCCGAGGACA